AGAGUUUGAUCCUGGCUCAGGACGAACGCUGGCGGCGUGCUUAACACAUGCAAGUCUAACGGUGACGAGGAGCUUGCUCCUCUGAUCAGUGGCGAACGGGUGAGUAACACGUGAGCAACCUGCCCCAGACUCUGGGAUAACAGUUGGAAACAGCUGCUAAUACCGGAUACGAGACGGAGAGGCAUCUCUACCGUCUGGAAAGUUUUUCGGUCUGGGAUGGACUCGCGGCCUAUCAGCUAGUUGGUGAGGUAAUGGCUCACCAAGGCGGCGACGGGUAGCCGGCCUGAGAGGGCGACCGGCCACACUGGGACUGAGACACGGCCCAGACUCCUACGGGAGGCAGCAGUGGGGAAUAUUGCACAAUGGGCGAAAGCCUGAUGCAGCGACGCCGCGUGAGGGAUGACGGCCUUCGGGUUGUAAACCUCUUUCAGCAGGGAAGAAGCGAAAGUGACGGUACCUGCAGAAGAAGCACCGGCUAACUACGUGCCAGCAGCCGCGGUAAUACGUAGGGUGCGAGCGUUGUCCGGAAUUAUUGGGCGUAAAGAGCUUGUAGGCGGUUUGUCGCGUCUGCAGUGAAAAUCCGAGGCUCAACCUCGGACUUGCUGUGGGUACGGGCAGACUAGAGUAUGGUAGGGGAGACCGGAAUUCCUGGUGUAGCGGUGGAAUGCGCAGAUAUCAGGAGGAACACCGAUGGCGAAGGCAGGUCUCUGGGCCAUAACUGACGCUGAGAAGCGAAAGCAUGGGGAGCGAACAGGAUUAGAUACCCUGGUAGUCCAUGCCGUAAACGUUGGGCGCUAGGUGUGGGGCUCAUUCCACGAGCUCCGUGCCGCAGCUAACGCAUUAAGCGCCCCGCGCUGGGGAGUACGGCCGCAAGGCUAAAACUCAAAGGAAUUGACGGGGGCCCGCACAAGCGGCGGAGCAUGCGGAUUAAUUCGAUGCAACGCGAAGAACCUUACCAAGGCUUGACAUAUACCGGAAACAUCCAGAGAUGGUGCCCCGCAAGGUCGGUAUACAGGUGGUGCAUGGUUGUCGUCAGCUCGUGUCGUGAGAUGUUGGGUUAAGUCCCGCAACGAGCGCAACCCUCGUUCUAUGUUGCCAGCGCGUAAUGGCGGGGACUCAUAGGAGACUGCCGGGGUCAACUCGGAGGAAGGUGGGGAUGACGUCAAAUCAUCAUGCCCCUUAUGUCUUGGGCUUCACGCAUGCUACAAUGGCCGGUACAAAGGGCUGCGAUACCGCGAGGUGGAGCGAAUCCCAAAAAACCGGUCUCAGUUCGGAUUGGGGUCUGCAACUCGACCCCAUGAAGUCGGAGUCGCUAGUAAUCGCAGAUCAGCAACGCUGCGGUGAAUACGUUCCCGGGCCUUGUACACACCGCCCGUCAAGUCACGAAAGUCGGUAACACCCGAAGCCGGUGGCCCAACCCUUGUGGAGGGAGCCGUCGAAGGUGGGACUGGCGAUUGGGACUAAGUCGGAACAAGGUAGCCGUACCGGAAGGUGCGGCUG
rnacentral:rRNA from 1 species